GGCACUUUGGCGGAGUGGUUAACGCGAUGCCCUGCUAUUAUUAAUAGCCUAGGCAUUCCCUUCGGGGGCGUGUGUUCGAAUCACACAGGUGUCG
rnacentral:tRNA from 2 species